rnacentral:rRNA from 1 species
UACGUAGGUGGCAAGCGUUGUCCGGAUUUAUUGGGCGUAAAGGGAGCGCAGGCGGUGACUUAAGUCUGAUGUGAAAGCCCACGGCUCAACCGUGGAAGGUCAUUGGAAACUGGUCGACUUGAGUGCAGAAGAGGGAAGUGGAAUUCCAUGUGUAGCGGUGAAAUGCGUAGAGAUAUGGAGGAACACCAGUGGCGAAGGCGGCUUCCUGGUCUGUAACUGACACUGAGGCGCGAAAGCGUGGGGAGCAAACAGGAUUAGAUA